rnacentral:misc_RNA from 1 species
AGUGAGAUGCAGGAGAAGUGGGGGCAUAAGAUUUACCAUCAAUGGAAAGAACUACUUUGAGCUUGUGCUUAUAUCAGAUGUAGGAGGAGCAGGAGAAAUCUCCAGCGUGUGGAUCAAAGGGUCUAAAUACAACAAAUGGGAAGCCAUGUCAAGGAAUUGGGGCGCCAAUUGGCAGAGCCUAAGCUAUCUGAAUGGCCAGAGCUUGUCCUUUAGAGUCCAAGCCAGCGACGGAAGAACCCUCACUGCUCUUAACUUGGUACCUUCCAACUGGGUGUUUGGCCAGUCUUUCAAAAGCAAUGUUCAAUUCUAGAAUAUUUUGUUUCCCUUUUCAACCUGUCAAAUUUGUUUGUGUUUAACUGGUUUUUCAUGUUUUUAUCACCACCACUGUAUUGAUUGCUUGCAUUGGUUGUUGCUUAGCAUUGUGCAAUGAAGCCCUCCGAG